GAGCAUCAUAGUUUCUCGUUCAGGGAAGAACAAAUUCAAAUAGAAGCAAUGGGGAAUCCCUCGAUUAUUCGCAACCUCCGAGGGAUACUCUUUGUCGCUUGUUCCAGUUCGCAAGUACCUUGGUCGAGUGAGAAUCGUUCUUUGUAGUCAGUUGUAGUGUAUUCGUCUGGAGAUCAUUCAGAAGUUUCGGAUCUUGUGCGUAACUUUGUCUCUCCGUAAAAUGAAGACCAGUUCGGUGUUAGAAGCCGUCACGCGAAUCGUGAUCCUCGCUUUGGUUGGGCUGAGUUUGACUAGUGCUGCUCCUGUGCAAGAUGAAAGCGAUAUGAAGCUAGUGAGAGUUGCUCGCCAUCCAGCGACGACCUACAAAUAUCAAGACGCGAUAGCUGCCUAUACAUUUUCCCCGUUCGCUCCGAAGACUAGCCCUACGACGACCACUACCACAACGACAACCACUACCACAACGACAACGCCGAUUCCCAUCAAGACAACGAAGAAGCCGUGGUGGAAACUUUGGGGAUAAUCUACCUUGUGUCAAUUACAUUAUGGAAUAGGUCGCUGUUCUUGAAAAAAUACAGAAUUAUGAGAUUAUUUCAAGAAUGCUGCGGUUAUUUUCUUUACAAUAAUCAUAGACCGAAGUUAACGAAAUGAUUCUACUAGAAUCUUAAAACGCAAUAAACCUCAUUAUCACUUUCAGAUGCAGGGGUAUAUCCGAUCUACUUUGGGCCAGUUUCAAUGCAACAUCAUAUUUUCCCCGUUGCAGGCGCUAUAGUUGGCUAAAAUAGUAGAUCUGGGUGAUUUCUUGUGUGAUUGCAGCUGAUCUGGCAAGUAGCAACCACGGGCGGCCAAUUAAACUCAAGCUUAAAAGCCGAAUCUCUCUGUAUUAACAUGAGGAUAGAAAUAGCUUCCUCUUUUUCUGUCAGCAAUAAAAUACUCGAUAUUUAUAACCAAA